AGCAGCCGCGGUAAUUCCAGCUCCAAUAGCGUAUAUUAAAGUUGUUGCAGUUAAAAAGCUCGUAGUUGAAUUUCGGGGUCAGUAGGUUGGUCGUGCCACCGGUACGUACUGGUCUCACUGAUUCCUCCUUCCUGAAGAACCGUAAUGCCAUUAAUUUGGUGUUGCGGGGAAACAGGACUGUUACUUUGAAAAAAUUAGAGUGUUUAAAGCAGGCUAACGCUUGAAUACAUUAGCAUGGAAUAAUGAAAUAGGACGAUCGAUCCUAUUUUGUUGGUUUCUAGGAUUGACGUAAUGAUUAAUAGGGAUAGUUGGGGGCAUUAGUAUUCAAUUGUCAGAGGUGAAAUUCUUGGAUUUAUUGAAGACUAACUACUGCGAAAGCAUUUGCCAAGGAUGUUUUCAUUAAUCAAGAACGAAAGUUAGGGGAUCGAAGACGAUCAGAUACCGUCGUAGUCUUAACCAUAAACUAUGCCGACUAGGGAUCGGAUGAUGUUAAUUUUAUAAUGACUCAUUCGGCACCUUA
rnacentral:rRNA from 1 species